rnacentral:rRNA from 1 species
AGAAUCAACGCUGGCGGCGUGCCUAACACAUGCAAGUCGCACGAGAAAGGGGAGCAAUCCCUGAGUAAAGUGGCGCACGGGUGAGUAACACGUGAAUAAUCUACCUCCGAGUGGGGAAUAACUGAGAGAAAUCUUAGCUAAUACCGCAUAACACUUACGAGUCAAAGCAGCAAUGCGCUUGGAGAGGAGUUCGCGGCCGAUUAGUUAGUUGGCGGGGUAAUGGCCCACCAAGACGAUGAUCGGUAUCCGGCCUGAGAGGGCGCACGGACACACUGGAACUGAAACACGGUCCAGACUCCUACGGAGGCAGCAGUGGGGAAUUUUGCGCAAUGGGGGAAACCCUGACGCAGCAACGCCGCGUGGAGGAUGAAAUCCCUUGGGAUGUAAACUCCUUUCGAUAGGGAAGAUAAUGACGGUACCUAUAGAAGAAGCCCGGCUAACUUCGUGCCAGCAGCCGC